AAAUCAGGUUUGUAAAGGCCACAGACCUUAAACUUUAGUGCAACUAAGGAAAGUGAGGGCUCUAAAUCUUCAGACCCUCCUAUGUGUAGUAUUUUAGUAAUGUUCAAGUUGUACAUCACACACACCAAGCACAUUUAAACUUAUUUUUUUGAAUUUGGAAAUGUGGCCACUGUUGAAACUAUUUCUGGUUGGCUGCUGUGCUCUCUCGGGCCAAGCACCAAAGGUGUUAAUGACUCUAAUCUCGUUUAUGGUUGAUCAAUGAGACUAUUUUUAUAUAAGAAAUUAGCUUUUGAAAGGCCACUGACUUUGUUCCCUACGCUUUAAUUGCACCCAGGAAAGUGGGGGAUGUGUUAGAGGUGAGACAAUGGCCAGAGUAGUUAAUGUCUAUGAGCUUAUCAUAAGACUCUGUUUGGUGAUGUCUCAUUAGAAAAGAGUAAGAAAGUUAAGUAACUUUAAAAUAAAUAAAUGAAUUCUCCCCCAAGAUAUUUUGGGUAGAAAAACACAAGAUUAAAACUGAAUAAAAAUUUUAAACUGCAAAACAAGUUUUAUUUUAAAGGCAAUAGGGGAAUGGGUCAAGUAAAAUGCUACCAAUUAUAGCAUAAAUUAUUUUCCUGACCAAUUUGUCUCCCCAAAGACACAUUUAAACUUUAUUUUUUUUUAAAUUUGGAAAUGUGGCCAAUGCUAAAUAAGCGCCACACAGGAAGCAAUUGUUCGAAAUGGGAGUUCAGGUAUGGACAGACAAAGAAAUAUGUUUGUGAACAUUUUGAGACAAACUUAAAAUAAAAACUCCUCAACUUGGCCUGGUGAAUUUAAUGUUUUUAAGCAUCUGUGCUUAGUACACUUUUGUUAAGGCUUUAUUACAGAUUGUUGCAUGUUUAAAAUGAAGGGGACCUCCAGUCAGUACAUUAACUAACAGUGUAAGUACACAACACACUAUUAACAAUAUGACAAAAAGCCUCCAUUGGACUAUGCAACAAAGUUAUUUGUUUAGAAAACAUUAAGAUAGUUGGCAGUAUUUACAUAUUUAUGCAUAUGACGGCAAUGUGGAUAAGGAGUUGGAAGUCAAACUCUAAGGUUGUGGGUUCACAUCCUGCUACUGACACCAUAAGACCCUGAAGAGGACCCAUGUAUAAAGUUUUAUGUAAAGACUCUGUUCUCCAAAAGAAGGAAGUUUCACUACAUGUGCAUCAUCCACCUCAGGUCUGAUAAAUUGUGGCCACCCUGCCAGAGUUCACAUCAAUAAAGUUUACAUGUUAAACACUCAGGGUACUUUUUACUGUCACCUGGAUAUACAGUGCUGUUCAGAUGUGGUAAUUUGUGGAAAUUGUGCCACUGUACAAAUGUAUGGGGUUUGUACGUAUACGGUCAUUUGACUGACAUCUUUGGGCGGAUUCCCCUGAGGGGCAGCGUCUGGACAACCCCAAAUAACUAUAUUAAUAUAUAUAUAAUAUUCUCUCUCUCUCUCUCUCCAAAAAAGUUUGACUUCUGAACCUAUUUUCUUCAAUUACAAUGGCCAAGUCUUCAGAGUGCAGGUAAGUGAAAAUAUUUCCACUCUUUACGUUUAACUCGUUGUUUGAUUAUUUUGGUAACAGAUGUGAGAAGCCACAGAAGAUAUCUGUCCACUUGACCAGGACAUGCAUUAAGAAGAAUAGCACGCCGGAAGAAAUAAAGGCAGAAGUAAAGAGGGCCAGGGAAUCUCGCAGAAAAUUCGGUAUUGAAAACAGGGUCGUGGAUUGCAUGGACUUAAUUAGUGAUCACCCCACAACCUAUCCUGUGCUGAUCAAUGACCUGAAAGAGGUGUGUGUUUGUUUUUUUUUUUUGUUUUAAAUAAACAAGCCAUCUGCCAUUUUAUGUGGCUUCUCUGGCUGCAUCUACAGUUUCCCCUCCGGCUGCUUCUGUGUCCCCUGACAGCUCUUCCCAGGAAAGCCUGGGAAACAUUGAAAAGGAUGACCCAACUUGGCAGAGGCCUUCACUUGUACCGUAAGGGUCCAUAUGGACAGGCACGGCCUUUACCAGAAGUUUGAUUUCUGGCUUAAUGGACCACCUAGCUAAUAUGCUUCAUGUCCCCAACUGGCAACAGGAGGUGGGCAAUGUUGCAAGAUGGUUGAAGUAUGUUCAGCCAGAUGAAAACAAAUUGACUUUGGACUUAUUAUUUGAGGCGGCAAAGGGAAAGGAGUUCCUAAUAAAGUUGAAAGAGGCUUAGCUGGCUCCGUCAACACGCCUUAAUUGUAUAAAGUGCAUGAUUCAGUUUGUAAAAUACCUGCAAAUUUCUCUAGAAUACGUAAAGGAACAAGCCAGGGCUAUUUAAAUUUCUUAAACCUGUCAAGAAAGCCCAUUGCAUGGGAACCUGGUAAGGCAGAAGCUGGUGGGGGGAAUACUCCAGAUUAACCCAAGGAUCACGCAACAUAAAAAGAUUGCCGAAUAUUUCCAGGAACCUUGGCCUUGCAACUUUCAAGAUCUUUUGUUUUGCGAUAUCCAUGCCUCUUCAGAUUGCCAGGACAUGACCUUAUUUAAAUAUUACUUAGAGGCCAAAUUAUGCUUGGACACUUUCAACGUCCAGGAGUGGGCGAGGGCAUCAGUCACUGAGUGGUUGGACCGACAAGAUGCACCAGACUGCCAAAGUCGUCACUAUUAAGGAUCACAAAACUGCUGCUACACAGGUGGCCACAAUUGGAGGAAGAAGCUUGGGUGGAUAUGUAAUUCAAAUAUAUUCAUCCGGUGUGGCAAAACCAGGAUGUUGAAGAUGAUGACCGGUUCUUCUUGUCGGUCAAAAGAGGACUUAUCGGUAGCGGCACCAGCGAUGUGCAGCGGCUGCAUGACAUGUUUGGUGUGCCCAACGCCACCAGCACUGAGGUCAGGAAAGCUGUUGAGACCUUUACUGGAGCACACUUCACAAGUGAGCAAAAACGGAACUUGGCCAACUACCUUACCCACACAACAGAAGUAGCAGAGAGCCACUAUCACAGCCAGAACCAUGCGAUAGUGAUCAACACCAUCGACAUGGUCCAUGCUCAUUUGGGAUCCUCCAGUUCUGGUGAGGAAGUUGCAGCACUGCUGCUACACAAUCAGAAAAGAGGGACAUUGAUUUUUCAGUGUUUACUUCAGUAUACCCGAUGUCCACUGAAGGCCAGCCUCCUACUAAGAAGAUGAGGAAGGAGGCUGGUUUUGGUGAGGACCGAUCUUGCUAUGAUCGGUGGAGAGCUUGCCAGUACAUGGAAAGAGAGAAAUGCAUCUUGUCCAUGUUCCGUAUCACCAAACCCACCCUGGAAACUUUGCCUCUCAAUUUUCCGUUGCAGGGAUGGGAGUCCAAUGUCCAAAGACAGGGGAAAUCCUCAGCAUUUGGAAACCUACUUCCAAAAAUGAAGUUGAAGACCACAAAAUUUCCAGGGCAGUGCAGUAUCAAAGUUGGAGGGGGCUGCAUAUAAGAUUUUGGAAGUGGGAAAGGCUUUGGAGUGGUUGCAACCCGAACAUUCUCUAAAGGGGACUACCAUGGGUGGGUAGUCACAAAAGGACUAAGGCUAGUGAAGAGCCAAGUAGAUGAGAUGGGCUAUGUCUUCUUCUUUGAAACAGGGGACACAGUUAUGGCGAUUUGAUGUGCAGACAUACCCAUCCAUCUGUUUUAGGGAUCUGCACCAGCACCACCAGACCAAAACACCAUGAAGGCGAUGACAACUGAUUGGUUUCAUUUAGGAAUAUUCUGGUCAGGUAGAAUCUCCAGGUGGGGCUGAGCUGUCUUUUGGCUUUGGAACCCCUAUAUAAAAAUUAUAUAUAUAUAUUUUUAUUGGCCACCUGAUCUUAUCUUGAUUUGUUGUUGUUCUAUUAUUUAAUAUUAUUGCUGAAUCUUAAUUUGUUUUCUUUUAAUUUUG